AACGCAUAUUGCGCCCUUUGGCAUUCCGAAGGGCAUGCCUGUUCGAGCGUCAUUAUCAACCCUCAAGCUUAGCUUGUUGUUGGAUGAAAUUUUAUUUAAGAAUUCGUCCCAAAGACAAUGGCGGCGUCUUUUGACCCUUGAUGCAACGAGCUUUUAAAGCACGCAUUUAAAGUGGUUAAUUGAUUCUAGACCUUUAUCAAUUAAUUUUUAAGGUUGACCUCGGAUCAGGUAGGAAUACCCGCUGAACUUAA
rnacentral:misc_RNA from 1 species